AACGCACAUUGCGCCCUCUGGUAUUCCGGGGGGCAUGCCCGUUCGAGCGUCAUUACACCACUCAAGCCUCGCUUGGUCUUGGGCGCCGCGGCCUGUCCGCGCGCCUCAAAGUCACCGGCCGGGUGACCCGUCUCGGAGCGUCGUAGCCAUCGUGUUUCGCUCGCGGGGAUCGGGCCGCCGUCGGCGCCGUUAAACGUCUUUCAAUCAGGUUGACCUCGGAUCGGGUAGGGAUACCCGCUGAACUUAA
rnacentral:misc_RNA from 1 species